CCACCCCGUCAGCUCAGUGUGUAAAAAUUUGAAAACCCAGGCUCUAGGGCUUAUCAGGAAGAUCGUGCCUCCAAAUUUUCCGGUCUCAGCAAGUGAAAUGGCCAAGGAAAUGGAACCUUUGAACCCUUGGUUUCUGGAUUUGGUACCAAUGUUGGUUGUUAUCAUUAUAGCUGCUCAUGUCUUCGCUUUGGUUUACUGGAUUUUCAGACUAGCUACUGACAAUCAACCCGAAAGACGAAAGACGCACUAAAAAUCUUCACUUUAUGACAUUAGAACACAGGGAGUUGUGGGACAGGGAAAGAAGUUGCGAAUUCUUUUAAACUGCUCUCGGUGGGUUAUAUCUACCAUAUAUACAUGGCACUUGCAUUUGAAGAGGGUAAGAAGAUAUAAGGAAUGAAGCUUUCAUCAUCUUAAUUGGGUCCAUUCCAUGGAUACAAUCAUCAUAGAAAUCUGUGUUCAUUGUCAGGUUACAGUUUGUGAACCUGUCAUGUAACCGCUGCUUUACUCAACAUUAUAUUUGUUGCAUAUUCCAUGUUUGUGCAUUGUUGUUCCAGAUGUUUUUAGAAUUUGCCUUUGCGCUUUUACCCUCAUCAGUCGGAUAGAUUUCCUGCCUUUCUUGCUUUACUGUUUUGGAAUACUAUCUUUUUUAACAUCUUUUUUGUUUCCUUA